GGAUGGGCAUGCGGCGCAUUAGGUAGUUGGUGGGGCAACGGCCCACCAAGCCGACGAUGCGUAGGGGUUCUGAGAGGAAGGUCCCCCACAUUGGAACUGAGACACGGUCCAAACUCCUACGGGAGGCAGCAG
rnacentral:rRNA from 1 species